AGAGCAUUCCAGCACUUAAGUGUGAAUAAGUCUUUUGUGUCUCGUACCAUCGCUCGUUAUCGUGAUACUGGUAGCAUAGCCCGACGUCAAGGAAGUGGACGGAAGAAAACAGCAACAUCAGCAGAAAUGGCUCGAAAUGUAAAGAAGCGACUUGAUCGAAACCCGCGUCGCAGUUGUCGAAAACUGGCUCGGGAGCUGAACACAUCGCAAUAUUCCAUUCGGCAAAUAUUAAAAAAUGAGCUUGGGGUAAAGCCAUUGAAAUUCCAAAAGUGCAAGAACCUACACAGCAACAGGAAGAAAAUAGACAGGAGCUAAAGAGUUGCUUCGCUUGACCGAAAGUGUUGAACUGCCGAAUUUUGGUUUCUCCGAUGAGAAAACAUUCGUUGUCCAGCAGUUUGUAAACAAACAAAAUGAUCGUGUUUACUUGCCAAAGAGGUCAGCUGAAAAUGUGCACCUUCGGUUGGCCACCAGAAUUCAAGUGCCGGUCAUGGUGAUGGUGUGGGCCGGCAUAAUAGCCGAUAGUCAGAAUAAAUGCCGAAUAUUAUCGCGAAAAUAUUCUGGGGGGUGUAUUAAAGCCUUGGGUACCAAAACAUUUUGACCACAGACCUUGGGCAUUCCAACAGGACCAUCGCACACAGCACGCGUCACCCAAGAAUGGUUACAAAAUGAGGUUCCUCGCUUCAUUUACAGCGCACAAUGGCCACCAAAAUCAUCUGAUACCAAUCCGUUGGACUAUUGUGUCUGGAGUAUUUUGGAAUGCAAGCAACAUUCGUGCAGCGUGUGACGGUUUCAUUGGCCGUUUGAAGGUCAUAAUUCGUGCCAAAGUUGACCAAAUCGAACAAAUCUAAACUUAUUCUAGAAUUUGAUGCUAUUUCCGACAUUU